UACGGGGGGGAGCAAGCGUUGUUCGGAUUUACUGGGCGUAAAGAGCGCGUAGGCGGUCCGAUAAGUCGGCUGUGAAAGUCAGGGGCUCAACCCUUGAAAGCCGGCCGAUACUGUCGGACUAGAGUCCGGAAGAGGCAAGUGGAAUUCCCGGUGUAGCGGUGAAAUGCGCAGAUAUCGGGAGGAACACCAAUGGCGAAGGCAGCUUGCUGGGACGGUACUGACGCUGAGGUGCGAAAGCGUGGGGAGCAAACAGG
rnacentral:rRNA from 1 species